rnacentral:rRNA from 1 species
CCUACGGGAGGCAGCAGUGGGGAAUAUUGGGCAAUGGAGGCAACUCUGACCCAGCAACGCCGCGUGAAUGAUGAAGGUCUUCGGAUUGUAAAGUUCUGUGAUGGGGGAUGAACACAAUGACGGUACCCCAAUAGCAAGCCACGGCUAACUACGUGCCAGCAGCCGCGGUAAUACGUAGGUGGCAAGCGUUAUCCGGAAUGACUGGGCGUAAGGGGUGCGUAGGUGGUUUAGUAAGUUGGCGGUGUAAUUCCGGGGCUCAACCUCGGCGCUACCGCCAAAACUAUUAGACUAGAGUGCAGGAGGGGUAAGUGGAAUUCCUAGUGUAGCGGUGGAAUGCGUAGAUAUUAGGAGGAACAUCAGGGGCGAAGGCGACUUACUAAACUGUAACUGACACUGAGGCACGAAAGCGUGGGGAGCAAACAGGAUUAGAUACCCCUGUAGUC